rnacentral:sRNA from 1 species
CGGCGUGCAGCCCCACGGCCGGGCUGUAGCGCGUGAGCUCCACGAACACAGCACGGCUCCUGCGCAGAGGGGUCUGGCUGGACUAAAGGCAAAACUAAAGCCCAGAAGACAGACCAGUGCACCGGAUGCCCGUACCGCGUGAUGGCUAGGAAAGCCCGGCUGUGCAGUUCCUGCUUGAUGGCGCUCUGCAGACGGAGCCAGUGAACACCGAGGCUUUACCACUGCAUCAGGGCACCAUGCUGAUGUGCCCAGUCCCAGAGCUGCUAGAGAAGAGGUAUAGAGGCAGUGAAGACGCAUUGAGGGGGAGGACGAGACCAACUGCGACACACCGGGACGCUCUCCUGUACCUGCGCCCUCAUCAGCCCAUCACCUAAAGAACGGCCUGACCCAAGGUCACACUGCAGAGUUUGCAGUGAGCCGAGAUCAUGCCACUGCACUCCAGUCUGGGCAACAGAGUGAGACUCCGUCUCAAAAAAAUAAAUAAAAAUAAAAAAU